rnacentral:lncRNA from 1 species
AGUGCAGAAUGGCGAUUUUCAAAGGGCGAAUGUCACCAAAGGUAAGUUUUUGCGAAAUCUCAACUUUCCUUUAUUUGCAGCAUGCAUCACUACUGUUCAUACCUCCCAUUUUUGUAGCUUAACCCAGGUAGAACCAUUUCGCCUAGGGGGAUCCAGCUCAUAGUUCCGGGUAGAAGUACUCUUCGCUCAGGUUAUUUUCGUAGCUUAACCCAGGUAGAACAUUUUCACUUAGGGGGAUCCAGUUCAUAGUUCUGGGUAGAAGUACUCUUCGCUCAGGAUGUUUUACGUAGUUUAACCCAGGUAGAACCUUUUUCGCCUAGGGGGAUCCAGCUUAUAGUUUCAGGUAGAAUUACUCUUCGCUCAAAUUGUUUUACGUAGCUUAACCCAGGUAGAACUUUUUCGCCUAGGGGGAUCCAGCACAUAGUUCCGGGUAGAAGUACUCUUCACUCAGGAUAUUUUACGUAGUUUAACCCAGGUAGAACCAUUUCGCCUAGGGGGAUCCAGCUCAUAGUUCCGGGUAGAAGUACUCUUCGCUCAGGUUAUUUUCGUAGCUUAACCCAGGUAGAACCUUUUCACUUAGGGGGAUCCAGUUCAUAGUUCCGGGUAGAAGUAC